rnacentral:rRNA from 1 species
CCUACGGGAGGCAGCAGUGGGGAAUUUUGGACAAUGGGCGCAAGCCUGAUCCAGCCAUUCCGCGUGAGUGAAGAAGGCCUUCGGGUUGUAAAGCUCUUUCGCGAGGGAAGAAAACUUACCAUCGAAUAAAUGGUGAGGCUGACGGUACCUUGAUAAGAAGCACCGGCUAACUACGUGCCAGCAGCCGCGGUAAUACGUAGGGUGCGAGCGUUAAUCGGAAUUACUGGGCGUAAAGCGUGCGCAGGCGGUUUUGUAAGUCAGAUGUGAAAUCCCCGAGCUCAACUUGGGAACUGCGUUUGAAACUACAAGACUAGAAUAUGUCAGAGGGGGGUAGAAUUCCACGUGUAGCAGUGAAAUGCGUAGAGAUGUGGAGGAAUACCAAUGGCGAAGGCAGCCCCCUGGGAUAAUAUUGACGCUCAUGCACGAAAGCGUGGGGAGCAAACAGGAUUAGAUACCCUGGUAGUCCACGCCCUAAACGAUGUCUACUAGUUGUUGGUGGAGUAAAAUCCAUGAGUAACGCAGCUAACGCGUGAAGUAGACCGCCUGGGGAGUACGGUCGCAAGAUUAAAACUCAAAGGAUUGACGG